rnacentral:misc_RNA from 1 species
GUGAUCGUAUGGGGGGACUCUUUCCCGGCUGCUCGAGGUGCAUCCGUGGUGGUUUGUUGCCUUUGGAGAAUCGUUGCCGUUGUAACAUCACCGUUACAGUUGCAACACCCGCGCGCUGUGGACACUCAGGACGCCGACAUGCAAGCGAUUCCCCCGUGCUUCGCGUGGGGGAAGGCUUGGUUGGCUUGACCGCUGUGGCUACGCGAGCGCAUGAGUGGUUUUGGACCCGUGUCUGCUGGUAGAUCCCCCGUUUUUGUGCGGCCGACUACCGGCGCCGUGUCCCGUCGUUCCUGUGGCUUUGUGUUACCGUUGCCUUUCAAGUGCUUGCGUGCUGGUACCCGAACUAAGGGAAUUGGUGCUACGUACAUGUUGCCUCGCGGUGGACGCCUUCGGGUGUGCUGCUGCGGCCAAAUGGCGCUUGCGGCGUUGCCUCGUUACGCUUCCACGUUUACGUGGUUGUUGUUAUCAAGGCAACCUCGCUCCUGCUGUUGGUCUCGGAUGUUGCCCACGAUGAAGUCUCAUGGCCCUUUUUGGUUGCCUAGACCCGACCCUAAGAAGCUCUCCGAAUUGAGAACAACCGGAACAGGUGUUGCCUCUACGUAUUCCGCAGUUAGUGGUAUGAUACGCAACAUUUUGCGCCGAUCCUCAAAUAAGUAGGACGAGCUUAGCCCGCUCAAUUGUGACAUCCGGCCCGGGGACCGCUUCUGGCUUGACACGCAAGUGGACGGACGGACGACUCCCGACGCUGGACGUCAACA